GAUGAACGCUGGCGGCGUGCUUAAUACAUGCAAGUCGAGCGAAAAGACGAGGAUCUUGCUCGUCGGACGUUAGCGGCAGAGGGGUGAGACACAUGUGGAUAAUCUACCUGUAAGAGUGAGAUCACUUCGGGAAACCGGAGAUAAUACCAGAUAAUAUAUUGAACCGUGUGGGUCAAUGGAGAAAGACGGUUGUUCUGGAACUAAUAGAUGGAUACGGGCCGGAUGAGCUAGUUGGUAGGGUAACGGCUUACCACGGGAAGGAGGCGUAGCCGACCUGAGUGGGUGAUCGGCCACCUUGGAGCGGAGACGCGGUCCAUACUCCUACGGGAGGCAGCAGUAGGGUAUCGUCGGCAGUGGGCGAGAGCCUUACGCAGCAACGCCGCGUGAGUGAUGAAGGUCUUCGGAUCGUAAAACUCUGUUAUGAGGGGAGAACAAAUGUGUAAGUAACUAUGGACGUCGUGACGGUACUUAAUCAGAAAGCCACGGCUAACUACGU
rnacentral:rRNA from 1 species